GACGAACGCUGGCGGCGUGCUUAACACAUGCAAGUCGAACGCUGAAGCACCAGCUUGCUGGUGUGGAUGAGUGGCGAACGGGUGAGUAAUACGUGAGUAACCUGCCCUUGACUCUGGGAUAAGCCCGGGAGACUGGGUCUAAUACUGGAUGCUACAUGUCACCGCAUGGUGGUGGGUGGAAAGGGUUUACUGGUCUUGGAUGGGCUCACGGCCGAUCAGCUUGUUGGUGAGGUAAUGGCUCACCAAGGCGACGACGGGUAGCCGGCCUGAGAGGGUGACCGGCCACACUGGGACUGAGACACGGCCCAGACUCCUACGGGAGGCAGCAGUGGGGAAUAUUGCACAAUGGGCGAAAGCCUGAUGCAGCGACGCCGCGUGAGGGAUGACGGCCUUCGGGUUGUAAACCUCUUUCAGCAGGGAAGAAGCCACAAGUGACGGUACCUGCAGAAGAAGCGCCGGCUAACUACGUGCCAGCCGCCGCAGUAA
rnacentral:rRNA from 1 species